UGAAAAACCCGUCAGUAGAUUCACCCUCUCUCUAACAGGCACAGAGAGACGCAAUGCCUGGUCAAGACGAGACGAGACUCUCUCACCCUCUCUCUAAUGCGGCGAUCUUAGAUCUUCUCUUCUCAUUCUGAGAGGAAACAAGAAUGAGCAUCUGCCGAGUCGACUCAAUGUGCAAGAAAUACGAUAAGUACGACAUCGAGAAGCAGCAGCGCCACCGCAACCCUUACGGCGACGAUGCCUUCCCUCGUCUCUGCGCUCGCGUCAACUACAAAAUUCUGAGCCGCUCUUCAGAAAGCCGAGAAGGGUGAGUAACCGGGCUGUGGCGGUUGCAAAGAAGGUGGAGAUUCGACGGACCAAAUCUUGAUUGGUGGAGGAAGUUCCUAAGCUGCGAAAUUGGCUCAAAAAACAGGAACAUAAGUUUUGGACUGGGCCUGAGUUUAUCCACAGAGUUCACUAUUUGACGCCGCUUGUUGAUCCUCUCUACAUAUCAGUAGAUAGACCUCGGUGGAUUUCGCGUUGCCUGGUGAAUACGGAGCAAAUAGAAAAUUGUCAACUGGUGACAACUGAUUGUGGAAACGAAAAUACCGAACAACUAGACCUUCCGAUAUCCUGCUGUGUUGGAGAACAGGUUUUCCAGGAAAAUAAAUUGCGCUUAAAUGACUGUGUAUUGGAUGGAUUCAGUAUUUUACCUGAAGAAUCCCAGCAGAAAAAUUCUCUUCAAUGUCAAUUCAAAAGAACCAGAAGGAACUGGUGCCUGCAGAAGGGAAUUAGAAGUAGUGGAGUCCCAGAUGUGUAUAAUACUGCAUCAGUAUCUGAAAACAACAAAACAGUGGUUGAGAGAUACCCUGGACUCACAGCUAAGGAAGGAAUUUCAGCUUCAUUGUCAAGGCUUUCUUUGAAAUUGGACCGUAUGGAUGAAGUUCAAAUCACAGGUGCAGUGACCUCUCAGAAUUUUAGCUCGACUCAAAAGUAAAAAGUGUGCAGAUAUCAGCUCAAAAGUAAAAAGUUGUGGUGGAAGUGGUUUUACAUAGACCACUCUAAACAUAAAAGCUUGGAUGAAGCAAAUGAAGAAGUUGAUGGAGGUAGUGACAUGAUGUAGGAAUCAUUUCCUGGAGAUCCACCAGAGCAGGCUUCAGUCCCAAAUUGCGCAUGCUCAACAGCUAUUAAUAAUGCAUAUGA